AGCGAACGCUGGCGGCAGGCCUAACACAUGCAAGUGGAACGAACCCUUCGGGGUUAGUGGCGGACGGGUGAGUAACACGUGGGAACGUGCCUUUAGGUUCGGAAUAACUCAGGGAAACUUGUGCUAAUACCGAAUGUGCCCUUCGGGGGAAAGAUUUAUCGCCUUUAGAGCGGCCCGCGUCUGAUUAGCUAGUUGGUGAGGUAAUGGCUCACCCAGGCUACGAUCAGUAGCUGGUCCGAGAGGAUGACCAGCCACCGUGGGACUGUGACGCGGCCCGAGCUCCUACGGGAGGCAGCAGUGGGGAACCUUGCGCACUGGGCGAAAGCCUGACGCAGCCAUGCCGCGUGGAUGAUGAAGGUCUUAGGAUUGUAAAAUCCUUUCACCGGUGAAGAUCAUGACUGUAGCCGGAGAAGAAGCCCCGGCUAACUUCGUGCCAGCCGCCGCUGUAACAC
rnacentral:rRNA from 1 species